UUCAUUAGUUUAUUCUUAAUUAUGAAAUCAGUAUAAAUAAUUUUUUUGUUAUCUGUUAACAUAAUUAUACGCAUAAUGAUAAUAAGAAUAGGGAUAUCGGUAAUAAUAUUUACAGAAUAAUAAUAAUUAUAUUAAUAUUAGUAAUAAAACUAAGCGCUAGAAUGUAUCAAUAUAACUACAGCAGGUAAAAAUAAAAUAUAUCUUGAGAAAAAGUGGCCAACGAAUGUACGUACUGUAAAAGUUUGUAUAAAUUAAUGUGUCGGCAUAAUUUAAUGUUUCAACGCGUUGUAUGCUAUAGUGGAGAGAAAUUGGGAACAACGAGGGCUCCGGCGACUAUUGCUGCAACUUUCACGCUAGAUGAUGCGCAUGAACUUUUUAUAUAUUACUUUUAUUAAAUAAACAAUAGUCUGUUUCUCUGAACAUUACAUAUACAUAUUUUUACACCAAACAUUUUACACCAACAUAUUUUUACAUUGAAUUAUUUCAAUGCUUUCUCAUUACAACGAUGAUACUGAUAAUAUUCUUUCUACUUUCCAGUUUCCGAACGACGUCGCAACUAUGCCCGAAGCUGAGGAAUCGAUUGUUGUACGCUACUAUAUAAAGGCAAUAAUCUCGAACGACGGGCGGGUCUCCUUCUUUCGAUAGAGAAAAAUCUCUGAUUUUAAAAGAAUGCAGGGAUCUCCAAGAUGUCCAACUUUCGUUAUCAGCUACAUCGCAUCUUCCUACAUUCCUUUCUUUUCUUUAUAAUCUUCUUUUCCACGUUAAAUCGUCGAGCGAUGGAAUCAGUGUUGUUGACUUUUCUUCCAAACGUGAUCCAUUACGAUAGCUGUGGGAUGAGAGAUUUCAAGAGAUGUCUUAUUGAUUCAAUCGUGCAGAAUCGAGCUGGAUUUUGGUACAAAUGGAAAAUACGAUUAAUUGGAAUAUAAAUUAUUUGGAUUAAAAUGAGCUGUUGAAAACAGCGAUACCAAGCACGAAUGAGAACUAUUCAAGGGAAUAUCCCUACCACAAGGUUACAACGACGUCUCGUCGGCUGGUCCUCUUAUAUCUCUACAUUUUUCGCUGGUUUGUAAUCCUAUGUAAAACGUUGGACUAUAUCUAUUAUAUCAUCUAGUAAUGUCCAUUUUAUUCUGUUCAAUAUAAUGCGGCACGGUAUAACCAUACAUGUAUCCUCUAAAUAAAAUUGCAAAUAUUCAUUAUAAAAAUGGCAUACCUACAUUGUGAAGUAGACAAAACCAUUUAAAACGAAACUGACUAUACAGUGUAGGAGACAAAACUAUUUGAAAAGUAAACAGAACCGUCUGAAAAUAUCUAUACUUCUCUAAUGAAGUAAUCAAAACCAUCGGAGAAUAAUUCUAUUAUUUAGUAAUGCAAAUGAAACCGUAGAAAAGCAUAAAAGAUUAGUUAGAAAGAAACCCAGUCGCAACACCGAACGAACAGAUGCAACCCAUCCUCGAACAGGUGUAGAAUAGACGAAAUAUUGUAGAAAUAUGGUAAAUAUUGGAGGCUACGAUACUUACUAGAUGUAGAUUCAUAUAAAUAUUCAUUGCUAUUUUUGAAAUAAAAAGCGAAAAGGAAAGAACAGGUAUAUUUCACGUUUAGAUCCGAUCUUGAAGAGCCACUCUACUAAGGUACGACAAUAAUAAAAAGGUGAGGCUUCGAUAAGUAAAUAAGUUUAUAUUUACAGCGAUUAUCGUUCACCUUAUUUUCGCAACAAGUUACAUAAUAAAAGUGUCGCUAACUUCUAGUUUCGAUAUAUUUGCGCAGGAUGAGUAAAAUGUAUAGUUUUUCCCAUUGAUUUAAUCAAUAAAUUUUUUCAUUUAUAUUCGUGAUUCCCCUGCGUGAAUAUUAAAUAUUACAUUUAUAUAUACUAUAAAUCACGUUUUUUCUCUUCCCAUCGGUUCACGUGUUUAUGUACUUAUAUAUCGCAAACACAAAUCUAUAAGACACACGUAGUUAUAGUUUUCUUUAAACAACGUUAUGCAUUUAUUAUUACACGAGCAUGUAUGCUCUUGCCUCUUACAUUCGUAAUUCAUUAUUUUCACUUUGUUAUCAUAAUAUAAAAAUCACAGCAUACAAGAAGCCUAAUACAACUUAUCGAUUUAUCUUCAUGGAGUACGGUCACAAAUUUGCACGAACGUUCACUAUAUUUUUCAGAUUUUCAAUUUUAUGUUUUUGUUUUGUGCAAAAGUACUACAAUAAUCAUGAAAAGCGGCUCUCUCUCUCUCUCUCUCUCUCUCUCUCUCUCUCUCUCUCUCUCUCUCUCUCUCUCUCUCU